GACACAGGGCAGAUUUUACAUAGAGCUGAGUGGUUUGGGUCCCGCGCGCGCGCGUUUGCUUUGGGGGUUGAGGCGGAACCGCGUGCUCUGUUUAUUAACACGUAAUUGUUUAUAGUUUAUAAGUCGUUUGUAGUUCCGACAUUUUAGCUUUUAUCUGUUACUGGCGGAAUGUGAAGUUGCCACAUUGCUGCAGAAAUUAGCUAACAAACCUGAAAACACACCGCACACGUGAGACGGACAUGUAAAUCAGCAGGUGGGUUUUGUUUUUCCACAUGGAUUAUAAAUUCCCGAGUCAGCUUUUCCCGCAGUUUUAUCUGAACACCCCCCAGGCUUUAGAGCCCAAGCAUGAUUACGGACACUGUGGCUCCUAUGGACAGCUGCUCGAGGCAACCAGGGGUCCAUUUCAGAGUUGUGUUGGGGGAGAGACUCCAUUCCUGUUUCAGCCCCAGCAUAAGGUGGACGGAGAGGUGUGGGUCCCCACCGAGCCGAUUGUAACACCGCUUCUCCCUCCCAACCAAGAUGCUAAAGUGUUCCGCAGUCGGCCUGCCAGUCCUGAUGACUUCGCUGAGCAUAUGCAGUAUUUCUAUGUGCAUCACUGCAUGGAUUCAUUCUCUGUGAUGGGCCAGCUGCUUGGAGAUCACUUCAGUUUUGCCAGCAGACAUAAUAAGGAUGUCAGCGGCAUGGGGAGGAUGAAGCACUUUCUAAGCAGCUUAAAUUAUAAGAAGUGCGAGUUGCGAUAUUUGCACAGGGUGAAUCACUAUCACCACCUUCUGGGUGACGUUCUCCCUGAUGUUCCCUCCUCUCUGCUGGCUGAGCUGCUGCGUGAGGAGUUGAGCCAUCAGAAGGAAUUGGAACACUUCCAACCUGCCGCAACUGGAGGCGCUCUUGCCUACAUCCCAGACCUUGAAUGUCAGAAAGAAAACAUUCUGAUUUAUCCCAGCGGAGAAGCACUAAGCACCAUCAAUUUUCACCCUAUGAAGCUGAAAUUCAGGGAAGAUAAACCUCCAGUUGUGAAGCUGGCAAAGGAGCCUCUGGUGUUCAACCUGGACGGAACAGUAAGGCAGGUCAGCACGGCCCUGGUAGAUGAUGAAGCUUAUAUAGGCUUGCGUUCAGAUCAUUUCUGUGCAGCGUGGGUUCUGAAAGCCGGUAACCGUCCUCGUCCAUUAGAGGUGGUGCAGCUGAAGGAACGAGCCACCAGUGUCAAUGUCAGUCCUCAUGUUUCUGGAGAGCUUGUCGUAGCCAGCGAAAGCGGAGCGGCUUAUCUUUGGAUUGUGGGAAAGGGGUUGCAAAAGAUCCGAGAUGAGAAGAUGAACCUGUACUUCAAUGCCAAGUCACCAUGGCGAUGGUGUGAGUUCACAGCUCAUCCACGACUGAUGGUUUACGCUGACAGGACUGGAGCAGAGCUUACAGACAUCAGGAGCAGCGAUUAUCACACAUUGUUCCGGAUCGGUGGGACGGCUGCUUGUAAGCGUGGAGAGAGGGUGGUCUUGGGCAAAUACCUAGGACAAAGCCACGGCUUCCACCACCUCUUCACCACACAGUUCUCUGCAUACCUCCUGGAUGAGCGAAUGCCUUGUGUGCCUGCCCUGAAGUGGGAGCACAUGAUGGAGACUCCUCCAUGUUUUGCCCAUGUUUUGCCAGCUGUAAGCCAAAGCAGCACCUCCAAAAUCCUGCUGGGAGCACAGAGAGCGCAGGAGACCAUGUUGUUGCAGUACUCAGGUGGAAGAGAAUGGGCCUGCCAAGCAGACGGCCCAAUUCAGAAACUCAGCAGUCCGUGUGAGAGCCUGAAGAUUCGGCAGCUACCACACAGACAGCACAAAACAAAAGCAAGGUUGGCCACACAUGCUGCAGGCCUAACUGCAACUCAGAACAAUGGCUUCCUUUGUGUGCUCCAGCUCACAGAGGCUGGGGACAUUUUCUACCAGAUGCUGAGACAUUUUGACCCAACCAACUCUGAGCCACAUCAAUCAGAUUCCGUAGAACCAGCAUCCAAUCCAAACUCUGCACUACAACCCCAAGUUUCUAUGGAAGAAGACCGCGACGAUGAGGCAGAGCGACAUCAACGUAUGCUGAGCCAAGUAGAAGUGUUUGUCAAUAACAGUGAUGAUGAGGAUGGCUCUCUUACUUUGGACGAGAACCAGGUGAGACUCCCUACAGAAAAAGGGAUUAAUUCUGAGCCUGCUUUGGUUCUUGAGUCUUCCGCGCAUUCUGCUAAGAGUGACUAUGCUCGUCCACUGAGGCCAGCGAUCCCCAAAACAGCUAGCCGUGAGUUAAGAUUAAUUUGGAAAAAAUGGCUGGAUUCCCUCUUGACGAAAACCGUAGGAAGAAAAGGUCACUUGAAACACAGGAAAAUAAAGACCAGUGAUCUAAUGCACUGUAAAGUGCAACAAAGAGACCAGCUUGAGGAGGACAAGUUUCAGAGUUUGAGGAAAGACCAGGCAGAGAUCUUGAAGACCAGGAAGCUGCUUGUUCAUGGGGUAACAUACCUACCUCCUCUAGAGGUGACCCCAGUUCCAGAUGGUGUAGACCCCAAGGCCUGGCCAGACGAUCUGAGCCAGCGCAUGAGUGCCUCAUGGAAGGAUGGUUGGAGUAACUGGUGGGAAGAAAAACUUGGCCUAAACCGGGACGCCAAGAUUGAGGCCCUGCGAAGGAAGCACCGUCUGGCAAAGAGAGCCAAAGCCAGAAACAGAGUCGCGCUUUCUUCAAGCUUCGUCUCAUCAGUCAGCUACCAAGAUGAUCUUUCUGAUUGGUCAUCAGCCACAAGUCAGUAUCCGGGUUCAGAUGCAGAGAGCAUUAUUACCUUUCUGAGUGUACCAGAGGAUGAGGCCAUUUCUGACAUCCUGGUACAAGCUAAGAGCCCAGAUUUUCAUGGAGUGAGUCAGAACACCGAAGGGUGUUCAGAUUUGACAGAACCAAUUCAAACUUCUUUGAAAAGGCCUCAGAAAACAACAAAAAGCUCUGAGCAGGACAAAGCCUCUGGUACUUCCCAGUUCCUUCCAGUGGACUUGCAACAACUGCCAAGCCAGGCCUCGCCCAUGAAAAGCAGCUCUACACUUCUUUCUUCCUCAGUGGCCAGUUUGAAAGAGUCACAUUAUGACCAUUCAAAAGUGAGAUGGUGGCAGCAGCAGGACUACCACAGUUCCCACUUUGGCUCUUCUCAAGAACUUGAGCAGGAUGACGAGGUCACAUCAUCAGUUGGUUUGAUGGCUACUAGAACGCAACCUUCUAGCUUUCGGUCACCAUUGCGAGCUUCGUUGAGGACCUCUUCACAGGCAUCUCAACCUCAAAAAAAGAAGUCACGAAUGGGAUUCUGAAUUGAUUUGGCACAGUUUAAUGCCGGAUGCCCUUCCUGACGCAACCCUCUCCAAUUUAUCCGGGCUUGGGACCGGCACCAAGAGUACGCUUAUGCACCCCCGGUGGCUGGAUGAGGUGAGGGCAGCCAUGAAAAGAAUGAAGACUAGGAAAGCAGUCGGACCAGAUGGUAUCCCAAUUUGAGGCUUGGAGAUGUUUGGGUCCACCGUGUACCUCUCACUCCAGCCGUCUUCAGGGAUCGUGGGCAGCUCCGGUGCACCACAGUAGCUGCUGUGCAGGUUCUUGGCCGUGCGCCGGGACACAAUCCACACCAGCUUCCUGUGAUUGGGUUUGGCGCAUGUAGGCGAGGAGUACUGCGCCAGGCACUGAGCCACCAGGCCUCUCCAGAGCUGUAGCUCCAUCUCUGAGAUCUGCACAUACACAUCCAGCGGCAGUUACAUAACAGACACACUCCGGGUGUAUUGUCCUGACAGCAGGUCAGGACGUUACUGAAAUUCUUUAUCUCUCAAAGACAGCAAGACAGAUUUGUUUUGAGGCAAAUGGAGCUUGCAUCACCACUGAGGACGAAUGUUAUCAUGCACCUUACUUUUAUUUCAUCUGCACUGAAGAUUUUGAUAUACACAUCAUGGUUAUAUGCCAAGGACAUGUUUUUGUUGUUAACAGACUUGCUGUCUAAAAUAAACUAGUCAUUUUUUAUAUAAUUUUACCUUCAGGUGUCUCUGAAUGGACUGGAUGAUCUCAAACAGGUCAGCUGACUGCACAGCCUCGAUCUCUUGUUUUAUGAGUGACAAAGCUAGCACCGAUGGCUACAAAGAGACGACAAAGGGAUUACAAGAAAUGUCACUGUACUCAAAAGCCCCAAAUGCAUCAUUGAUUUGUAGUGCAAAUACAUACUUUUGCUUUUGAGAAUACAAUGCGGCAAAGGCAGGCUUUAAGCUGGGCUUCCAGCUUGUCUAAACUGAGGACUUCUUUCCUGAAAAGAAACAAGAUAUGCUUUUAUUAGGUCUAAUCUGCCUUAAGGUACAUCUUCAUUUUUUAUAUUUAGAGAUGUUGCAUAAUAAACCAGCCUGUUUGCUAUCUAUGCCCUUUGGUAUAUGGCAGUGUCUGCUGAUAAUUUAGUUUAUGAGAUAACUAAAGCAGAUCUGACCUACAUAAUGCACACUGGACUUAAAUGAUAUUCAUUUGCCUGCUACUUUCUAUUGUCAACAGUUCUAGUGUUCUUUCCUACUGUAUGAAACGGAGAUACAUUUUCCUCAUGCGUUUCUCACCUGCUUGAGGUAUGCGACAGGACAAUCGCAUGGUACAGGUGCAGGAACGUUAAGGCUGUGAUGGCUUGAAACUGGAAGUUGAGUUUCUCAGAGAUGAUUUUCUCCAUGCGCCCAAGGUCCGACACUGUGAACGUGCACUGGCUGAUGCGGAUCAGCUCGUGUGUUGACGACACAUCACACUUGUCCUCCACCACUUUGGCAGCAAUAUGGAGGCAGCCAAUGCUGAUACAAGCCAAAUGUUUGGGCUGAACCUUUAAGGCAGAUAAAGAAGUUGCACUUUAAUUGGUAUUUGUAGUGAGCGAGUUUAGUAUAGGGCAAGUUUUACUAAAAUGCUUGAAUAUAUAAUGUUAUUUACCAGCUAGGAGGUCCAGAUCAUGAAAUACCAUGACCGAGGCCAUGGUAUUUCACCAUACGGACCAACCUUAAGCUGGUAAAUAUUUUUUCUUUACCAAAUUCUAACAGAAAACGAGAGCGCUCGAAAGGGAAAACCGAGCCGCCAUUUUGAAUCCUCAUUCACGGCUGUAAUGCAAAUUGCUUCCUCCUCAGUAUACAAGUACACUUCCAUAGCAGGAAAAAAAGCUACAUUUUGCUGCCUAUGUAGUCCCCUAUUUAUACAAAAUUGAGUCAUUCAGGAUUCAGCAAUGUUUUUGCUCGGCGUUGGCAACAGUUAGGUUUUUUAUUUCUUCUUCCUCAGAGUAGUAAAACUCGCUUUCGCUGUGAACACUCUCGUUAUCACUAUCCGUGAUGUAAAAUUAAUGCUGCUAUUCUGAGAAAUGCUGGCAAAAAUUUAAGAUUUUUGAUAAUUAAAAAAAAAAUGUUGACAAAAAAAAUUCUACAAAGUUUGUUGUGAACAAGCAAGUUGCCAGAGGUCCAUAACCGGGGUCCGCUCGCCAGCCAAUCAGAGCGCAGGAUUUGAUGGAACCCGUACCGCAAAAAAAACCUUCAAAUAUUUAGCAUCAAACUCAGGGUUUGGUUACUGUGUUUUUUUUUUUUAAUUAUUGAAAAUGACUGACAAGUGUUUUGUAAAAGCAUGCAUGCGUACCUUCAUCAUAGCUAGAAAUCUGUCCAGCAGAUUAACAGCCAGGACGAAAGUGUGUGUGCUGUAGCCAAAGAAACUGGUCAAGCUCCAGAGAUCCUCCACCUUGGCGUUGCGACAUUUUGCAGAAAUUCCCUUCCCCUGGUACAGAACAAAAGUAAUCUUAAUUAUGCUUGUAUAUUUAGAAAAUUCUCUCCCUUUUUUUUUUUAAACACUUAUGUAUGAUUGUACUUUUUAAUGGCACAGGCUGUAAAAUGUAAAGAUUUUUAUAAUAAUCA